UAUACGACCGCCAAAAAAAUUUGUGGUCGUAUAUUGGUAUGACAUUGGCGUUGUCGUCGUCCGAAGACACAUUGGUUUUCGCACUCUAACUUUAGUUUAAGUGAAUGGAUCUCUAUGAAAUUUUACCAUAAGGUUCAAUACCACAAAAGGAAGGUGGGGAUUGAUUUUGGGGGUUAUGGUACCAACAGUUAAGGAAUUAGGGGCCAAAAAUAAGCAUUUUUGUAACUUCCAGACAUAACUUGUGUGUUAGUGUAUGGAUCUCUCUGACAUUGUACCACAAGGUUUCAUAUUACAAAGGGAAUGCUGGGAUUGAUUUUGGGGGUAAUUGUCUCCAAAUUUUAGGAAUAAGGGGCCAAAAAGGGGCAAAAAACAAGCAUUUUUCUAGUUUCAUGACAAUAACUUGUGUGUAAGUCACAGUAAGUGUAUGGAUUUCUCUGACAUUGUAUUACAAGGUUCCAUAUCACAAAGGGAAUGGUGGGAUUGAUUUUUGGGGCAAUUGCCUGCAAAUUUUAGGAAUUAGGGGCCAAAAGGGGGCAAAAAACAAGCAUUUUUCUAGUUUCAUGACAAUAACUUGUGUGUAAGUGUAUGGAUCUUUAUGAAAUUGUACUACAAGGUUCCAUAUGACAAAGGGAAAGCUGGAAUUGAGUUUGGGGGUAAUUGCCCAAAAAGUUUAGGAAUAAGGGGCCAAAAAUAAGCAUUUUUCUAGUUUCCAGACAAUAACUUGUGUGUAAGUGUAUGGAUCUCUCUGACAUUGUAUUACAAGGUUCCAUAUCACAAAGGGAAUGCUGGGAUUGAUUUUUGGGGGUAAUUGCCUCCAAAUUUUAGGAAUUAGGGGGCAAAAAACAAGCAUUUUUCUAGUUUCAUGACAAUAACUUGUGUGCAAGUCUAUGGAUCUCUCUGACAUUGUAUCACAAGGUUCCAUAUCACAAAGGGAAUGCUGGGAUUGAAUUUGGGGGUAAUUGCCUCCAAAUUUUAGGAAUUAGGGGCCAAAAAGGGGCAAAAAACAAGCAUUUUUCUAGUUUCAUGGCAAUAACUUGUGUGUAAGUGUAUGGAUCUUUAUGAAAUUGUACUACAAGGUUCCAUAUCACAAAGGGAAAGCUGGAAUUGAGUUUGGGGGUAAUUGCCCAAAAAGUUUAGGAAUAAGGGGCCAAAAAUAAGCAUUUUUCUAGUUUCCAGACAAUAACUUGUGUUCAAGUGUAUGGAUCUCUCUGAAAUUGUACUGCAAGGUACCAUACCACAGAGGGAAUGCUGGGAUUGAUUUUGGGGGUAAUUGCCUCCAAAUUUUAGGAAUUAGGGGCCAAAAAGGGGCAAAAAACAAGCAUUUUUCUAGUUUCAUGACAAUAACUUGUGUGUAAGUCUAUGGAUCUCUCUGACAUUGUAUCACAUGGUUCCAUAUCACAAAGGGAAUGCUAGGAUUGAUUUUGGGGGUAAUUGCCUCCAAAUUUUAGGAAUUAGGGACCAAAAAGGGGCAAAAAACAAGCAUUUUUCUAGUUUCAUGGCAAUAACUUGUGUGUAAGUGUAUGGAUCUUCAGAAAUUGUACUACAAGGUUCCAUAUCACAAAGGGAAAGCUGGGUUUGAGUUUGGGGGUAAUUGCCCUAAACGUUUAGGAAUUUGGGACCAAAAAGGGCCAAAAAACAAGCAUUUUUCUAGUUUCCAGACAAUAACAUGUGUUCAAGUGUAUGGAUCUCUCUGAAAUUGUACUGCAAGGUACCAUACCACAAAGGGAAGGCUGGGAUUGAGUUUUGGGGUGAUGAAUCAUAAGGGGGUUCAAAAAAUUUUGGGGGGGGGAUUCUUUUUCCUUUUUUUUCUUUAAAAUUUUCCAUUUUAAAUUGGUUAUUUCUGAUUUAUAAUGAUAUGGUUUGAAUAGGUAAAUUAAAUUUUUUUAAGUAUCUUAGACCACUUUCAUUCUGUGUCAGAAACCUAUGCUGUGUCAAAUAUUUAAUUACAAUCCAAAUUCAGUGCUGAAUCAAGCUUGAAUGUUGUGUUCAUACUUGCCCCAACUGUUCAGGGUUCGACCUCUGCGGUCGUAUCAAGCUGCGCCCCAGCGGAGCAUUUUAUUUCAUUCAUAAAUUACUUUAUGCUUGGAAAUAUAAUUUUGCUUGGAGUUGAAAGAGUUGACAUGUUGCAAUGUACAUUUACUCUACAUAGUUCUAUGGUACCAAAUCAAAAGUUUAUAUAAAGAAAGAAGUCAAAGGUUUCCCAUCAUAGUUUAGUUACAUACAUUUUUUUUUGUACCUGAGGUCGUUGAAUAUAGAUCAUUAUAUAAAUAAGGAGAUGUGUUAUGAUUGCCAAUGAAAAAACUAAGGAUUUUCUUAUCCAAGGAAUAGAUUACCUUAGCCGUAUUUGGCACAACUUUUUGGAAUUUUGGGUCCUCAAUGCUCUUCAACUUUGUACUUGUUUGGCUUUGUUACUAUUUUGAUCUGAACGUCACUGAUGAGUCUUAUGUAGACGAAACACACGUCUGGCGUAUUAAAUUAUAAUCCUGGUACCUUUGAUGACUAAUUUGACUAUAAACAUAGAUAAAAAAGGUACAAACUGGACAUAAUGCACUAGUUCAUAAACAAGUGAGAACAAUCGCCUUCAUAUAGUGCUCAGAAUAUGACAUUCAUAAAACUUAUUCAAUAUCAUUAGAGAACUCUAAAUCUUAAAUACUGAAAGCCACCUCUGAUAAGUACACUGUACUAUGCAAGAUAAUGAUAUAACUGGACUUAAAAUACACACAACCUGUAAUUAACUGCCUUUACAGCGCUUUCGUGCUUUGAU